rnacentral:rRNA from 1 species
AUGGAGGAGGGGCAAGCUGCAGCGAGGAGGGACUGCGCCGGCCACAGAGCUGGAGGCCCGUCAGCCGCGGGGAAGGAGCGCGCCGGCCGCGGGGAGGGAGGGCGCUGGCCGCAAAAGAGGAUGGGUGUCGACCACGGGUUGGGAGAGCGCCGGCCGCGGAGGAGGGGCGCCGGCGACGCGGGUCGUGGGGGUGGUGAUGGCACGCUUUUGUUAUCGGGGCCUGGUGGCGUUGAGGUUGGAGGUUGGGUCUCCGGCGGCGCCGCCAUUGGUGGUCUGGGCUCGGCGGCGGCGCGCUUGAAGGUCGGGACUCCGGCGGCGGCGUAG